rnacentral:rRNA from 1 species
GGCCAUUGCUAUCGGAGUCCGAUUUAGCCAUGCUAGUUACACGAGUUUAGACUCGUAGCAUAUAGCUCAGUAACACGUGGCCAAACUACCCUACAGACCGCGAUAACCCCGGGAAACUGAGGCCAAUAGGCGGAUAUAACUCUCAUGCUGGAGUGCCGAGAGUUAGAAACGUUCCGGCGCUGUAGGAUGUGGCCGCGGCCGAUUAGGUAGAUGGUGGGGUAACGGCCCACCAUGCCGAUAAUCGGUACAGGUUGUGAGAGCAAGAGCCUGGAGACGGUAUCUGAGACAAGAUACCGGGCCCUACGGGGCGCAGCAGGCGCGAAACCUUUACACUGCACGACAGUGCGAUAGGGGGACUCCGAGUGUGAGGGCAUAUAGCCCUCGCUUUUCUGUACCGUAAGGUGGUACAGGAACAAGGACUGGGCAAGACCGGUGCCAGCCGCCGCGGUAAUACCGGCAGUCCAAGUGAUGGCCGAUAUUAUUGGGCCUAAAGCGUCCGUAGCUUGCUGUGUAAGUCCAUUGGGAAAUCGACCAGCUCAACUGGUCGGCGUCCGGUGGAAACUACACAGCUUGGGGCCGAGAGACUCAACGGGUACGUCCGGGGUAGGAGUGAAAUCCUGUAAUCCUGGACGGACCACCAAUGGGGAAACCACGUUGAGAGACCGGACCCGACAGUGAGGGACGAAAGCCAGGGUCUCGGACCGGAUUAGAUACCCGGGUAGUCCUGGCUGGAAACAAUGCUCGCUAGGUAUGUCACGCGCCAUGAGCACGUGAUGUGCCGUAGUGAAGACGAUAAGCGAGCCGCCUGGGAAGUACGUCCGCAAGGAUGAAACUUAAAGGAAUUGGCGGGGGAGCACCACAACCGGGGGAGCCUGCGGUUU